rnacentral:rRNA from 1 species
UACGUAGGGUGCGAGCGUUGUCCGGAUUUAUUGGGCGUAAAGGGCUCGUAGGCGGCGUGUCGCGUCGGGAGUGAAAGCCCGUUGCUUAACGGCGGGUUGGCUUUCGGUACGGGCAUGCUGGAGUGCGGCAGGGGAGACUGGAAUUCCUGGUGUAGCGGUGGAAUGCGCAGAUAUCAGGAGGAACACCGGUGGCGAAGGCGGGUCUCUGGACCGUUACUGACGCUGAGGAGCGAAAGCGUGGGGAGCGAACAGG